CGGCCGGGCCGCUCGCUCUGCCCUCCCGCCCGGCUCCUGCGGCGUUCCCGUCGUUUCCGAGCCGCGGCGCUGCGAUCAGAGCCGUUGCUUCGGGACACCCGGACGGUCCGACGCGAAGUUUCGUUCCCGCUUUACUUUUUUAAUUCUCGGCGGCCUCUCGUGUGAGAUGUUGAGGACGCAGCAUCCUGACCGUCCCGUCCAGGACAGCAGGCGGUGCUGGGUUGGCACUGAGGGCUUACAGCCCGCUGAGCUGCCGGCUUCGCCUCUCCUAAUGGCUGGGAGUGCUUUCAUCCGCAAAUCCGUGGUUCUCACAUCAGUGUUGUACGACCUUCGGACAGCUUCUCAAGUUGUCGCUCGGAUGCACGUUCUCUCAGGCACCCGUGCGCACAAACCUGCUCGGGGUGCUCUUCUUCCUUCUCCGAUACCCGUUGACACCCCCACAGGUUUCAGACCUGAGUUGUGUUACAGAACUCCUGGCUCUCUUGUCACUUAUUUAUUGGUUUGUUAAACAGUAUCACAUCAGCUGCUGCGGAGCCAAGAAUUGGUUUAAAAUUUUAUCACAAAACUCUCACUUUCCUAGGAGAAGACAUCAUAGAACUAAUUUUACCUUAGUUUCUCCAGGAAGCGGGGAGUAAAGCUGCGGUGGGAGCAGUGCAGUCGUUAUUCAGAACAGGCCUUGUUCCUGUAGAGCAUUACAGUAUUUCUAAACACUUUAGUAAGCACAGGCUGUGGGAAAGGUUAGCUUGGAAAGCUGGUAAAACUUAAUUACGACUGUCUGACAGUCCGUUAAGAGGAGUAUGGCAGGGUAACUCUGUGAUGUCUCAUAGUACAAGCCCAAAAGGACAUUCAAUGGUACUCAUCAAGUGGGAGUUUUGAAAAACAAUAGGUGGCGAGGCUUUUCCAAGCUAUGUAAUUAUAAUGAAACUAACUGCCAGAGGAAACCAUUCAGCUGCAUUCAAAGCACACAGAUAUUUGUAAGAACACAAAAAGCACCUCCUGCAUUCGCAGCAGAAGCCAAGAAAACAUUUUGAAGAUGCUGAAGCACGUGACUUGGUAAUCUGUAGGGAAUAAGAACUGUGCUUUUCUGUAUCCGCGGAGGUCAGUGCCUGGUUCAGAGCAGGGGCGGGGGGUGCUGUUGGACCAGAAGGGUUGUGAACUUUGUCACGUGUCGGGUGAGGAUACAUGAAGUCAUACUGCUCAAGUUCAAAGGUCCACCUGCUGUGACCUGUUCCUCACUCAUAAAGUGGGAGCGCACUGUGCCACGAGGAGCUGAGCGGUGCUGCCGGGUGUGCACACGAGGCAUGAGAAGCUUGGAAGGCAGCUUGCUUCAGAAGGGGCUCUGCAUCGGCGACGGCGGGUUCUUCCCUUGGCAGUCAGUUGCAGGGACUGCCAACUGAGAUAUUCUAGGUGCGUGUUUUCUUCACUGAGGGAAAAAAAUCCAUCGUUGCCAGCAGUGUUGCGCGGUGUUGAAAUGUUAUACUCUGUUAAUGUUCAUUUGAACGGCCGUUCUUCGUGACUUCCUUCCAACUCUUUUUGCUGUUCUCAAGUCUUGCUGGCCUGCUAGCUUUGUGCUCACUGCGAAGGACUUGUUUAGAGUCACUUCCUUGUUUGUCACAGAGAUUCUGUGUGCGUGAGCCCAGCUCUUGGUGAGGUGCUGCAUACACCUGCCUUCAGGUGCCGUGUUUUUUACAGGGCUAACUUCCAUGGCUGUGAGGAAUAGUUGUUUAAACAAAGCAAUUCUUGUUUGGGUGAAAGAAUUUUAAAAUUAUCUAUUUCUAGUAUUUGUUAUUUCUCUUGCUUAUCUGAAGGGAAUACGCUUUGUUCAGUAGGUGAACAACCACGGACUUGACUUACUUGAGGAGCAGCUCGCAGGCUGUGCUUGCUCUGCAUGCCCAGACGUCUGUCAUGCAAUCUGUCUGUCCAGGAGCAGCUACAGACUUACUGUUCUGACUGCUUGCACUUAGAGAGGGAGCCAGAAUUCAUAUGGUGCUGUGCGCCUCUUCAGACACAAAGGCAAGCGUGAAUUUAAACCAACUGAAAUGUGUGUUCGAUUUAGCACAGAACAUCUUUGAGGUGUCUGCAGCCACGGAGCAAUCUGCCAGGGAUGAAAACACAUCCUUCAGCAGUUGGUCCGACUGCAGGAGGUUGAACUGUGGAGUGUCCAUACGAGCAAGCCUUUGCUGCUCCGUGGGAAGAGUUAGAUUUGGGUGGCAGGACUGGGAGUGUUCGUGUUCCUGCAUUGGCACAAGUCCUUGCGCAUGUACCAUAACCCUGAUUCUGUGUGUCUGAAAGUCCCAGUGUAAUCCAGUAAAUAAGUAUACGUGCCCCACUUUCUCUUUAAACCAGUGCUGUGUUGGAGAGGCACAGUGUCCUUGGUGCUGGAGUCAGCCAGAAGGUUCGAGCUGCUGCAGAACGCUGCACUGUUUCUGCACGGUGAGACGAGCUGUUGGAAGCACUCAGCCUUACUUCUGCUUGGGAAGGAGCGCAGCUGAGGGUGGUGGUGAGUUCUUGGCAUACCACAAGUACACACACACGUGUUUGUUCAGGCAGAUCCGCCGGAGUCUGAAGUGAGCAGUAAGUGGCUGUGUGUGCAGAGGAGCUGAGGGGUGCCAGCUUUCCAGAGCUGCACCAGAAAGUGACAGAUAAAGAGCUGGCUCCUCUUCCUUUUCUGUGUGGGCUUUGCCUCUGCAGCUCGUACAGCAGAGCGCACGUGAGGGGCUUGCUUCAGCCUUUUAUUGCAGAGUUUUCAGGAUUUGAUUGCUUGUGCAGAGUCUGCUGCAGAUAUAAUUAAACUGAAGCAGAAGUGCAUGACAACCUGUAUGCAGCUUAGCCAACCCUGUGUGUUUCCCAGGCAGAUCAUGCUGUGAAUCACUGAAAACAUGUAAUCUUCUAUUGCAAAGUGCUUGCUUACUAGAGUUCUUUUGUUCUGUAGGCCUUGCAUUUUUCACUGUUUAUGAUUUUGUCUGUAUGAAAAUGUAAACUCUUAACAUUUAAUAAAAUAUGUCACUCAUUGGUUAUUUAGUGUCAUUUUCGUCUUGUCACCUUAGUCUGGAAAUAAUUUCAGCAGAAUGCCCUUUGCAGCUCUGGCAGUUCUGGAAAACGUGGUUCUGUUCCAUCAGGUGGAAGCCAUCGCUUUGGGUUUCCUACUUUUCCAGGAGGUCAGCUUCAACAGCAAGUCUUUGCUUCUGUGGGAUCCAUGGAGCUUGGGGAAAGCUUUGGGAAAAGCUGCCUACUGAAAAUCCAUAAAUAGAAUUGGUGGCUGGAGCUAACUAGAAUAAAUGCAGUAUUUCUUUGACUGUUCACUGCAGGAACUUGGAUGUCUCACUGUUGUUGAAAUCAGCCGUCAGGCUUGGCAGAAAGGCCUCUGGCUGGCUGCUGAUUGUUUUCCUUUGGUUACUUACAGGAGUACCUGGAAUUUGUGUCAGUGCAGUGUGAGGCUUUUCCCGCUCUGCAGGACAGACGCCGCUCUCACUCCAUGCGUAACAGAUUUAAAACUGAAUUAAAUAGUCUUAAGAGGAAAACUUGGUCUCAUCUCCAACCCUUCUUUGGGCCAGGGGAGGAGGGGAGGAAGGGAAAAUAGCCGUGGCAGAGAACGUGAGCCGGGUGCUGGUGGCUGUUUUCCCUCAUUUCAAUAUGCUGAAUUUCCACCAGCUUCAAAUCCCACGUACGUCCCUGAGGUGUGAGAGCACUCAUAUUUUAAACAGAAGCGCAGGUAUUUUCUAAUUGAUUUGAGCCGUCUGUAACGGAGUAACAGUUGCCCAAGCUCUGAAAGGUCCUGCUCUGUUUGUAUGCUAAUGUCUCUUCAAGUCAGAUUUCUCUUUGGGGCUGGGCAUAAAACAAAGUACUGCAAUCUCUCGCUGAGCAAAAAUGGCUUAGGAAUAUGUAUGUUCUCAGUUUAACCUUGAGCAAAAUAUUUUUGGCAUCAGAACAUUCAUUUCCAUGGACUUGUGCUUUUAACGUACAGCUGUUCAUAAUUGGCCUUUUACAGGUUUGGUUAUUUAUGCAGAGCGGAGAGGCGCUUCGUUCUUUUCUGUCUUUGCAUCUGAAAUCUUUAGGAAAUGGGACAAUUGCAGGGAUUUCCUUGGUCCUUGGUGUGCUGUCAGCUCUGCGUGUUGGAGGAGCUUCCUCAUGUGGCUGUUACGCGUUGGUUGGUAUCUGUACUGUGCGUUGAAGCCGUAAAACUCUUAAUUAGGCUGGUAGAGAUUUAAACAUGGAUGCGGGUAGCUCACAAGCAUUCUGCUGUCAUCCCCCCUUACUGCACUGGAUGCCAGGAGCUGCGCUCUGCAUCUGGUCCCUGAAGGACAGCACUCCAGCAGGCUGAGCUCCGAGCUGCCCGCGUUUGGUUCAGCUCUGCAGCUCCUCAGUUCUGCUGCCGUUUGGAGGCUGGGACAACAGAAAUACUGCAGCCGUUUUUGAACACCAGCUCACCCCCACAGCUUCUUGGUUGACAUCAGAACUCCUUCAGGCAGUGUGGAAGUGCAGGCAUUUCUUACUCCCUUUCUGCCCUGUGACCCUGCAGCCGCUGUGGCCAUUACAGCCUUGGGCUUUUGAAAUGGAAAGAAGAAAGCAGAAAAGGGCUGAAUUGUGUGGAGGGCUUCCAGGUAAGUGCACGCAUUCAGAAGCUGCUUGUUUCUUGUAUGCUGCUUGAGACUUUUAUUAAAUACUCAUUUCUGUACUUUUGUUUUGUUUUGCUUGUUUCCAAGCUUUACUUUUAUCAAAGCUGUUCUAAUUCUUAUCCCCCACUUGGCCGCAGGUACCUGUAUUGGGUGAGCACAAAGCAGGAGGAGCAGUUCCCUGUGCUACGGGGGUUGGGGCAGAUCGGGGACCCUUUGGGUGCUCCGUACCCACUGUCCUCCAAUGAGAAAUGGGGGAGAUGAUGAGGAAUUGGAGGCAGAGGCACUUUCUCCUCCAAAAGCAGUGUCCCCUUCAGCUGUAAAAUGCAAAUGUUUUUCACCUUUUAAAAUACGGGCUGUCUUUAAGAAAGAAUGAAAUAGUUGGCCACGUGUCUCACAAGUUAAUAUAGGUUGCUCAGAUGUAGCCUGGGGCAAAACGUAGAUUUUUCUCAUUGCAUUUGAAUAAAGCUUUCUCUGUUUCCCUUAGAUCUCAAAUCAGUAGGAAACCCGUUUUUCAAUGACUAACCAUCGCUUGGUUUGGUGUGUGCUUUACAGCUGUUACUCUUUAUGAACCUGAGUAAGCGGAGGAAAAGGAAGAAAGUAAUGAAAACUCAGUGUACAAAAACUAGAGCGACUGAACUAACCUGUGCUUUCUAGUCCAGUUUCAGAUGCAGUCCUCUUCCCACCAGCACGGCCAGGAGCUCAGCUUGUUGGCACAGCGCUCAUCUUCACCACACUUCCUGACCUCUUCUUAGCAGUGACGAUGCUGAGCACUCAGCACUGCAAAGUGGCAAGGUGAACUGAAGCCCCUGGAAGUGCGUAUGAAAGAGGGAUGUGAGUUUAUGAGAAGCUAGGAUGAGGUCUGUUGGUCUCGUUUGCUGCUUUUCAGAUGACUCCUUCCAUGCACUGCCAUGUGGACGAAAAGCUGCUCAUACACAAGCCUUAAAACAGGAACUCGAGGAGCUGCACGCUGCUUUAGCUGUAUGGAAGCACUGCUCAAACAACAAGAUCUGGCCUGGGCCAUCAUUUAAAGCUCAAGCCAUGCCUAGAUGUCUGUCUUCAAUAUGAACUGGAUGUCCCAAGUCCUCUAGAGCAGUGGCUCCCAGCUGGUGAAGGGCAACAUGUUAAAGGAAAGGCACGGAGCUGGAGGCUUCAAGGAUGGAAACGCAGCGCAGAAGCAACGUGCAAAGAGCUGCCCAGAGAAGUUUUUGUACAGCACAACACCAGAGACCCUACAGCCAGGGAUUCUGGGAGGAUUUUACAGCAGGUACAGCGAUGCCAAGUUAUUCUUGUCUAUCUGUUACAGCAGCUCAGGAGUUGCUGCCAAGGUUGGUACCCACAUUCACACCCACUACACAGGUACUGCAUUUGAAGCUCACGUGUUGCUUAAAAAUAUCUGACAGUGUAAUUGUCCUGAUAGGACAAGAAAGUUUGUAUGGCUUGUAGGAAGGUCCUCACCUCACUGCCAACUCACAGGAGUUGGCUUUUAGCAAGCAGCUGUAACCACUGCUGCUAUGCCAGACUACUCAGCUCCUGCGUUAAUCUGAUUUUCAGGAGCCACAAUCACUUUGAUAUGGCUGCAGAAGGAAACAAAAGAGCCAGAAGCCUCACAAACUUUAAACAAUUUAUUAGAACCCAAUAUAUUAGAACACCUAAUUCAGGGUGAAAUUACAUUUUAAGACCAAAAAAAUGCAAUGCUUAAAUAUGGCAUUUACUGUGACUGCUAUUCUUAUAAUCCUGGUACAGGUUUUUCUUCCUGUGUGAUGUUAGUAUGGAUCCAAGGCAGAGCAGGCCCAGCGCUUUGCUUUGAGGGCUGCUCCCCCCCUGCCUCUCAGACACGUAAUGAAGAAGUCAGGCCUCAAACACCACCACCAGAGGAAAAAAACCCAACCACUGCAAGGCAUCACCAGAAUGUGAUGUUUUAUUUCUCAUAUGUUUUAAGACUCAUUAGCAGAAUAAUGUAGCAAAACAAAAAUCAUGCAACUUCUGAAAUGUAAAAGGUCCACUGAAUGGGCAUCAAGCAAGACUGUUAUUUCAGACUGGAACCUGAAUACAGAGAGUACAAUCACCCAUGUCAGAGGUCCUGUAAUUUCUUUUCACAGUAGCCCUUUUGGAGAAGCAGGUUGGGUUAAUAACCUCAUUUUCCACUACUGUAGAUCAACGGAAUCAUCUCCAUAAAAUACAGAAAAGUGCUCAACACAUAAUACAAAAAGUAUCUAACUUACAAACUGGUCGGAGACACAAAAGCAAAGGUGGAAGUGGCAGAUGGUUGGAGAGAUCUGUACCAAAGUAUUACAUUGUAAAUGAACUUGAGUGACUGCAACACAGGAUGGAGUCUCUUGGAACAGUUAAACUCUGCAUACAAGGUAUUUAGGGAGGGUAGGGGUUGUGCCUUCCCUUCAGGUUCCUGCAAUGCUGAUGCAGAUUUCUUCCCUCCCCCAUCCCCACACUACCUGCUCUCUCUCCUUUAACACGUGCACAAAGAUCCCCUACAAGCUGUGUUGAAUUCUUUAUAUCAGCUUUUAAGAUAAGCUAUUAGUUACACAACUUUCUCAGGAUGUAUCAAAUGACUGUAACUCUGCUGCCACUGAUCUGCAGCUCUAGCUAUGAGUUUUGGUCACUGUACGUGAGAAUCAAAAUGGUGCUUGCUUCUGAGGCCUGUGCCACUGUCCUUCCUCACUUACAUCAAAGAAGGAGCAAUUUUUAAGCAUUCAGUUUUCAUUCUCAAACAAUAGCUCACCUGCAAAACACAAAACACACAGCACUCAUGAAAAAAGCAGAGUAUUUUUGCUCAUACAGGAAUUACUGUAGAAAAGGAGUCCUCUGGCUGUACAUUGUUUCCACAGUGUAUUUGGUACAUGAGAUACAAACUGUACAAGUUCUCCAGUUUACAAAGGUUUCUAAUUUGCAGAAACAACUCGGCCCCUAUUUAUAAUAUUGUUUUAAAUGUCAAGAUUCUUACAGAUAAGGUACAGUCUAAGUAAUUGGCUCAAUGUAACAACAAAAAUGUCAUUUUAAUACAAUUUGCAAUAGUACAACUAUGUACAUAUGUACAGAACUGUUUCCUUCUGUUGCUUCCCUAACUUUGAGUAUACUUAUCUUUAAUUAUCAGUUUGUUUUAAAGUAUGAAACGGCAAAGUAAAAAUGGUUCAGUUUUGCAGCACUUCAAGUUCUUCAGUUGAGAUCUCAUCUGCAUUUCCCAAUUAACUCAAGCCUUAAAGAACACCGUCACCAAAGCGCGGCUUGCUGUAAUCGACGAGGUCGUUCUGUAGGUCUCUUUCUUCAUCAUCUGCAAUGGAAAUAUUCAGACCAAUUCUCAUGUGAUGGUAAUGAAACAAAAGAUAAAGCAAGCUUUCCCAUGAACACAGUGCUAACUCAUCCACCUGCACCUCGUCUGCCUGUGGGAAUGGAGUCCCCUAGGACAACAGGGCAGCACAAGGCCCUGCCUGCUGGCAGCACCUGGCGGUUUGUCCCCACUGACAAACUGUGACUGCACACUACUGAGCGUCUCCAGCUUUGUUCCAACUGCAUCUCAGACAUCUGAUGACUUGAGGGAUUGCAGAACUACUGUAAAUUGGGAAUGUUCCUUUAUGGGCUUGAAACUCUCCCACUAAAAGCCAACCAGAAAGUCUCUGCAAUGUUGGAAGGUUACAUCAGCACGGGUUACAAGUUGGCAGAGUUGAAACGCUGCAGGGUUUUACCAGAGGUUGGGAACCAUACAGGACCUGCACAGAGGAGUCCUUGUGAGCCUCCUCCAAGGCUCUGAACAAACUGCAGAGGAGCUGAUACUCUUCCAGCUUACGCCUUAGGUUUGAAAAAUGAUACUCUGAAUUGCCUGUGCUAUCAGCAUUGUUACAGACUGCUAUCCUGCAUAUCAGACUCAAGUAUAAAACUUGGAGGACUCUUAAAAGCACAAAAAGCAGCGUUCAACCUUUCCAUGCUUCUUAUCAAUAGAAAUCUGUAUUCCCUCAGCCUUGCUAGGAAUCAGCAAUGCAUUCUUCACAGCCAAAACACAACCAUCCAGUCAGGCUACCAAGCAGUAAAUAAACAGCCAUCAUCACCCAUCAAAACAUCUGCUCUUAAACAUGCCGUUGUUCUGCAGCUCAGCCAGGAAGCAGAGUGCAGCAGAGCAGCGCGUGCAGAGCAGCCUGCAGCUGAUGCAAAGCGCCCGGAGCGCCGCAGCUCUGCUGCUCUGCAGGGUGGCUGCUGCUUCAUCCCUGGCUGGGAGAGCGAGUGAAGGCGUUCCACGCUGCAGGUCCCACACGCCUGCUUCCUGCUGCUCUCCUACUUCUUGACUCCUAGUCCUGGGACUUGGAGGCUCGUGAAAAAUCAUAAAAACAAAUGCUCAAAACUUGCUCAUCCUCGCUGUAUUCAUUUACUGUAGUGCACAAAAAAAAGUAAAAUCAAGGAAAAUAUAUUUUGAAGCAUCUCUUGCAAGAACUACUGAGGCACGUUAUUCUGGCUGCCAUCAUUGAGAUGGCUCCUGCGUGGUCCCACAAGAAGAGAGGUCCUGAAAGUCCAGCGUGUUUUAACCAAGAAGCUUCUGCUGCAUUGCAAAGCUCACGGUGUGCCUUACACCCAAGUGAAGGAUGCUAGUUCACAGGAGCAGAAAGCAGAGUUCAAGUGACUGCCAUCAGCUGCCCCUCCACAAGUUUACUAAGCCGAUCGCUUGACGAUAACCUGUCUGAAGCUCUAAAACAGUCACAAGUUUAUUAUCAGCCCACAAGUGAGGCAGGUACACCAGCAGCUACAGCCACUGGCACAGGCUUGUUUAUCUGCGUGACACACGCUGUUGUUUGGAAGAAGCCACUAAUAAAGCAUGUGGGCAUCACUUGAUUGGUAUAAUCUGCCACCACCAAACAUCUACUGGUGCAGAAGCCAGCAGUGUACAUUUCACUUUGCAUUUCAAACAGGUGAACUGAAAGGAGAAAUGCCAGUUUGGAUGCUGGUGUUCACAGGAGGGCAUCUCCCCAAUUUCUCUGUUUUCCUUAUAUUUCAACAUAAGGCCCAUACAAUUUUAGUGGUAACAGAAAAACACAUUUAACCAAACUGCUUUGUUUACACAUACCAGAUGCUUUGUUCUAGCCUAAUGCAGAACCACGUGAUGUUUUCCUACUAGUUUUGAGGCAGAAAUUCAGUGGGUUUUUCUUUUUAUAACCUCCAAACAAUUAUAACAACUCCUCCAAAAUCCCACAAUUCCACCUUCUCUUCCCCUGCUGGUAAAUUAAGUACAAAACCUAAAGCAGACACUUCUAAAAUGCUGCUCUGGCAGUACUGCUCUCCACACAGAACAAGCCAACAAGUCACCAGGAGACAAGGCAACGGAUGGUUUGGAACAUGAAGCCAGAGGUUGUAAUGUGCUGCCUGAGCUGUUCUGCAGGAAGAGCCCCCAGGUCAGCCUUCAAUCUUCACUACAUGGCACAAAAUCUCUUCUGUCUGUGCAGAUGUGAACAGACUGGGCAGGAAAGUCCAAAGCGAAAGCCACCACAGCCCUGAGCUGAGAGGUGUCACAUCAGCAAGUGAAAGUUCUGAGGCCACUUUCAAUUGCAGCUCCUACACAGCAAGCUGCAUAACCACAACCUCUGGUUUCUAUCAGUUCUCCAGCACUCACUCCCAUGUUGAGCCCAUCACUGCAUAAGCUGCUAGCAGCGCACCCUUCAAGGCACCUGUACUGGUUCACAGCUCACUGGAUAUUGCUUCUGGCUACCUCAAGCCAUUGGUUUUCUCGCACAGCCAUCACAGCAGUGUUGGUAAGCAGGCAGUUCCGUGCUGGGGGCACAGUGCAGCGUUUGCAGGGCCUGCAGUGCUGCUCUGCUGCCUCGCCGUGCUGCUGGGCAUCUUCUGCCCGGCACAGAGGCAGCGGCUGCAGAAGGCUGCCUGCAGGCUGAGCCACACGAACAGCACAGGGCAGCACUGGGACUCACUCAUGUCAGGAGUCACCCUUUGAAGUCCAGUUAAGGAAGCGAUGCAGAGAGCAGCCAGGCAUCACCCACUGCACAUGAGGGAGAAUUGAACUAAAUAACGACCAAAACUCAACUCAAUCCACACCACUGCUCGGAUUUGCAGAGUGCACAGCAGACAGGCCCCACACCGUGCUUUCCUUUGCUCUACAAAACCACGGCCCUGAGAAACCAGCUUCCUGCUUCCACAGGGCAGUGCCCAUCAGUACAAGAGGCCAUGUGGACUAUUUACACUCAUUUGGAAGCUGGCCUUAACAAUCCGUUCAGAACCUCAUCAGAGCACACCCAGAGGGAUGGGCAUUUGUAAUCCAGAGCAACUAAAGUCCCCUGCUACAGCUCGGAAUGGAAGUGUAGCAGCCAGCCCACGUCACCUGGAGCAGCAGCACUUUUCAUUUUCAUCAGUGAGCAAAUUAAUUGCCCAGGGUUCUGAUCCAUACCGUUCUUGUGCUUGUUCUUGUGUUUCAAACUACCAGCACAGCCACUGCACACUCUGCAUGCAGCAGUGCACACUAACAGAAAUCAGCUGCAUUCUAUCAGCUUUUCCUAUUCCUAUGCUUGGAUGACAAUAAAAUCAUUGACAACCCACCAGUUAAAAAACCUGCAUUGCAAGGAUCAAAAUCAGGGUGCACACAGAACUUGAGGAGUUACAGCCCUCCCAUCCUCUGCACUCCCCCUUUAUUUUGCAUCAUUUCCUUAAUUGGAAAUACUGUAAAUGUUUCAGCAGACAUUUCCAACCUCUAGACAUGCAAGCCCUCCACAAGACGUUACCAAACAACUACAUGGAGAACGGCAGACAACGUGGCAGCUGCACGGCAGACAACAACAGAGAGGUGACACAGUGAGACGCAUGCAUGGGGGGCAACAUGCAGGGAUGGGUGUUAGGCUGAGUUCUGAAGUUUGGUUGACAAGGGGAACCAAAGUCUGUUGAAUCUGUGUAGGAUGCACAAAAAGUUACACUAUAAUCGAUAUCUGGGACUUGGAUGUGUGCCACCUCAGUGCAGGUGUGACUUCAGUUAGCAGGAGUCAAAAACCACUGAUGCAGUUUUAAGUAGAGAAGUGUAAUGCCAAAGACUGCGUCCCCAGCCAGCUAUGCACCACGUCUGUGUUUAGAAAACCACUUCUAAAAUUUGAAACAUCUCGAUUUCCCUAGCAGAAGUUGUGCAAAAUUGAAAUAAGCAAUGGGAAUAUUCUGAGAGCUGCUGUAACACUGCUUUCAAAUGGAAAGCGAGCUGAAUUUUAAAGAUCGCUUAAAGCUUGUUUAUUCCGUAUUACAAAUUGCAGAUCAGCCAAAAUUAAUGGGGCUUUACACAAAUUCAACAAGAACACUCAGUGUGGAUUUCAUUACAGCGGGAUGGAGAUAAGGCCCAAGCUCACCUUGGACGUCUUCUUCUCCACCAUCACCAUCCUCUUCCUCAUUGUAAGCCAGCUCAGCCUGUUUGUCUGCCUCGUACUCACCCACGUUACCAUCAUCCCCAUUAUAAUCUGCCAGUUUAGAACCCUGCUGCGGAUCAACAGGGGAUUCAUUCUCAUCAAAGAAUCGGCCUGCGAAGUAGGCAAAGGAUUAAGUCAGAAGCAGAGAGGAAAGAAACAGGAAGAUUCUAAAUGAAAGCAGCCUGCAGGUUAGGAUAUUCAGGUUUCUGUAGCAGCUUGACUGGAGGAAAAAGGGAGUAGAAGGGAGAGUGUGUGUGCAGGAGGGACAACAGUGCUGCUUAGGAACACCUCCAUGGAGACAGCAUGGCCUCGACGGCUCUGGACUGGGGCUUGAGAUCUGCCUGCUGUGGGCUUCGCUUUGCAGGAAGGAGCAGGGGAAGCACCCAUACAAAAAGCUCCACUGCUGGUUAUCUACAAGCACACCACAAAUGUGCUCUGCUUUUACGAAAUGCUGAAGAGCACAGAGGGAAACUUUUUGUACCCAGACGUUUUCCUGAACCAAAAAAAAUGGAGCAAAACAUUGCUGACUUUGUACAUGGAAAAGGAGCUUCCAGCAUGGGCGCCGUGCUGCCGAGGGUACCAACCUCACACAGACCUGCCUUGAUUUUUCUUCAGGCCCCCAGUUGAUGUGGGUAACACCCAGGUAAUGUUCCAACUGCAGUAUUUUUGUCUCACAGCAAGGAAUUAACAACUGUUCCACACAAACAAUUCUUCCAACAACAAACUAGAAGAAUAAUUAGCUGCAACUGUAAAACGACUGCAAACGAGCACACAGUGAAAGGUCCAUGGCGUAACAUCAAGUUCAGACCUGGUGUGUAAUGAGGUACAAAGGAGAAACGGUCAAGACCACAGAAUUCAGUCUGCUUGUCCACGGCUUAAAGAAAGCAACACUAACCAAGGGCACGGGGCUGGAGACUGUGUGUAAAGGAGAACGGGGUCGAAGUGCAACGCUAUCAUUGCAGACUGGAGACAAACCAAGAAAAAGGCCUGCCAGGGCAGAUGUGAAGUGAUCCGUGUUGGAAGCAAUUAAACACAGAAGUAAAACUGAUGAUUUCCACAUCAGGAAUAAAAAAGUGUUUGGGUCACAAUG